AAGAAGGGAUAGAAAUCAAUAAGUACUGCUAAUCCUUAGAAACCAGGGUUUGAAUCCUUGGCCUUCUUA
rnacentral:tRNA from 1 species